GGUGCACCACAGAUAUCUUCAAGGAAAACACGCGUUCCCCCCCCUCCCCAAACCCAAAAGGUAGAAGUCGACCACAAAGAACGGAAGAGACACACUCAUAGGCGCGUCGUCGAAUUGUACACGAACGACCCCAGCAUAGAAGUGGUUUGGCGUCUAACGCUGGAUCUGGCGAUUCUACGCUGUUUGGCCUACAAGGGCGCGCACACACACGUAUAUACACGCAGAGGGAACAGCUCUGCACCCUUGGUCGCGCGGCAUCAUAGUGCAUCCUAUUCCUUCAUGUUUGCUGGGGUUUUCACGACGGGUAGUCUCUUUUUUCGGCUUUCUCUUAUUUUUUCACUCAUUAUUUUUUUUCCCUUUCCCUAGAAAUGUCGGUGCGCACUGUGCGGCGAGCGAACAUGGACUUUGCCCGUCUUAAGGAGCUGGCUAACAGCGGUAGUCCCACGAUCAGCGCUGUGGACAUGGCGGAUGAGAAUGGCGCCACAGCCCAUGGCGACGCUUUUCACUGGCGCAUUCGCGUUAUGCCACCCGCUGAGAGCGUCUAUCAUGGCACCACGUAUGAUAUCUUGUUCACGCUCUCCCAGGAAGAUUACCCGUUCAAGCCACCGGCGGUGCGCGUACUCACCCGCAUUUUCAACCCCAUGGUAUCAGAAGACGGCGCCGUAUGCGAGGGUCUUCUGCAUAACGAUGACUGGAAACCCACCACCCCCGUUGCAGAUGUUGUAGGUCAUGUUGUGAAGGCAAUCUUCCUUGAUUACAAGACCUACGCAGUCUUGAAUGAGACGGCAGCUGGCGUAAUGGUCACCGCAACUCCUGAAGAGUUCAAGAAACACGUGCAGCGUACGCGCGCCAGUGAUGCAAGCACGUGAAGUCGUAGCGGAAGUCUUACAUAACCAUUAACCCGUCACACUAGCUUGUGCAACCACUCCUUGUGACGAACAUUCUCGCAAAAAGGUGGAGCUCCGUGCAUUAUGCACUUAAGUGUCUCUCUGUGGAGGCGGUAUUCUCUACUGAUAUUUCUCGUGCUCUCUUCCACCCUGUCUCCCCCCCCCAUCCCUUACUCACGAGGGGGAGACAUCUCUUGCCGGUGCGGAUAUGCCGUUUCUCUUUGUUGUUGUGUGUGUGUCAGAGCGCUGCCAUGGGUUGUAUGUAUAAGUGUGUUGGAGAGCGGAUGUUCGACUCUGUUGGCAAGGUGCGCUACACUCUGCCACCAUCGCUUUUUUUCCCGUUUACUGCUCUCUGUAGGCUCACAACUCCCUUGGCCAUGCUAUAAUGUUGUCCCCUCGAUCUUCCUCCCCGUCAGUGAGUGCCGAAAUCUCUAGGUAUUCGCUUCACCCUUCUCCCCUUUAUUUCCACCUUCGCAUCCCUCCAACGUCAACACUCCAGUGUCGCUAUUUAUGCUUCAUUUUAUUGUUGUUGCUGUCGUUCUGUUUUGUCUCUCUGUCUUUGUCGGUCUCUCUUUCUGCUCUCCCGCGAUUUGUGUCAGUCCUCUCUCCCCUGAGGUGGUUCGCGGCCAACGUCUGCUGUGAGGAUGGGUGGGGGAAGCUUGAGAGACACCUAGUAAAC
rnacentral:misc_RNA from 1 species